rnacentral:rRNA from 1 species
AACGAACGCUGGCGGCGUGUUUAAGACAUGCAAGUCGCACGGUGUCAUUUUGGUAGCAAUACUUGGAUGGCACAGUGGCGCACGGGUGAGUAACACGUGAAUGACAUGCCCUUCAGAGGGGGAUAGCCAAGGGAAACUUGGAUUAAUACCCCAUGGUCUCGCAAGAGUAAAGAUGGCCGCAAGGCUGUCGCUGGAGGAUUGGUUCGCGUUCGAUCAGCUUGUUGGCGGGGUAAAGGCCCAACAAGGCUACGACGGAUACCUGGUCUGAGAGGACGGUCCGGCACAUCGGCACUGAAACACGGGCCAGACACCGACGGGUGGCAGCAGUCGAGUAUAAUUCACAAGGGGGGCAACCCUGAUGGUGCAACGCCGCUUGGAGGAUGAAGGUCUUCGGAUUGUAAACUCCUGUCAUCCGGGAGCAAGACCUUACGGUGAAUAGCCGGCAGGGUUGAUAGUACCGGAAGAGGAAGGGACGGCUAACUUCGUGCCAGCAGCCGCCGUAAGAC